GAUGAACGCUGGCUACAGGCUUAACACAUGCAAGUCGAGGGGAAACGACGGGGAAGCUUGCUUCCCCGGGCGUCGACCGGCGCACGGGUGAGUAACGCGUAUCCAACCUGCCUCUGACUGAGGGAUACCCCGUCGAAAGUCGGCCUAAUACCUCAUGGCAUCGUCUGCGGGCAUCCCACGACGAUUAAAGAUUUCAUCGGUCAGGGAUGGGGAUGCGUCUGAUUAGCUAGUUGGCGGGGUAACGGCCCACCAAGGCGACGAGCAGUAGGGGUUCUGAUAGGAAGUCCCCCCACAUUGGAACGGAGACACGGACCAAACGCGUACGGGAGGAAGGAGUGAGGAAUAUUCGGCAAUGGGCGAGAGCCUGAACCAGCCAAGUAGCGUGCAGGAUGACGGCCCUAUGGGUGGUAAACUGCUUUUAUGCGGGGAUAAAGUGAGGGACGUGUCCUUAAUUGCAGUUACCGAAUGAAUAAGGACCGGCUAAUUCCGUG
rnacentral:rRNA from 1 species